rnacentral:lncRNA from 1 species
UUGGAUUCAUCUUAAGACAAAUAACUGACUCAUCCUUGUUAUAUUAUGGUUAAGGUUAUUGGACUCUUUGUUUAAACAACUUCACAAAGUUACAAACCCCUAUAUUAAGUUUGGGACAUCCUAGUUGAAGACAUCACAUGUUUGAAUUUUUUAAAUCAUGUGUUUUUAAUUUAUGAAAUAAUUACAUAUAAACAUUUGAUGUGACUAACCUAG